rnacentral:lncRNA from 1 species
CCCGUAUCAUUUGGUAUCAGAUUUUGGGCGUUUUGGGUGUUCUUGGUUGAUUUCUAAACUGAUCUCUAUUUUUUAAAGCACAAACAGCAGUUUUACCCAGAAAAAUUGUUCAAAAAAAAAUCAUUUGGGUGGGUAAACGUUGUCCGAUUGAUCUGAAAUUUUACAUACAUAUUUGUGGCACUGUGAUUGAAUAUAAAAAAAUUAUUCCCGCAAAAAAAUCAGUCAAAAAAGUCAAAAAAUCAAAAAAGACGAAAUUCAAUAAAAAAUUAAAAAAAAGAUUCAGCGGGUUGAAUUUGGUGCCCAAAACUUCCAGAUCAAAAAUUCAAUAUUUAAGGACAUUCCAGAUUUAAUUUCGUGAUUUUUAGAGAUCGGGAACACCUCGAACGAAGUUGUCAAGUUACUCCGCAGUUUUUCGGGUUUU